CGCGUAGGUGGUAGUGUAAGUCUGGGGUGGAAUGCCGGGGCUUAACCCUGGAAUUGCCUUGGAAACUGCAUUACUUGAGUCAGUGAGGGGAGGGUAGAAUUCCUGGUGUAGCGGUGAAAUGCGUAGAUAUCAGGAGGAAGGCCUGUGGCGAAGGCGGCCCUCUGGUGCUGGACUGACACUGAGGCGCGAAAGCGUGGGGAGCAAACAGGGUUAGAUACCCUGGUAGUCCUAGCCCUAAACGAUGAAUGCUUGGUGUGGCCGGUACCCAAUCCGGUCGUGCCGCAGCUAACGCGUUAAGCAUUCCGCCUGGGGAGUACGGUCGCAAGGCUGAA
rnacentral:rRNA from 1 species